rnacentral:tRNA from 1 species
GACCUUGUGUUUAAAUUAGAAAUUAGAAACAUUUAUUAUAUGGGUUCAAAUCCCACCAAGGUCA